rnacentral:rRNA from 1 species
UACGUAGGGUGCAAGCGUUUAAUCGGAAUUACUGGGCGUAAAGCGUGCGCAGGCGGUUUUGUAAGUCUGUCGUGAAAUCCCCGGGCUCAACCUGGGAAUUGCGAUGGAGACUGCAAGGCUAGAAUCUGGCAGAGGGGGGGUAGAAUUCCACGUGUAGCAGUGAAAUGCGUAGAGAUGUGGAGGAACACCGAUGGCGAAGGGCAGCC